AAAGUUUGACAGACAAUCGCUGGCGGUGUCAAAGCCGCGAGAGGAAAGUCCGGGCUCCGUAGGGCAGGGUGCUGGAUAACGUCCAGUCAGCGCGAGUUGAAGGAUAGUGCCACAGAAAUGGACCGCCGAUGGCCGCCUCAUAGCGGCACAGGCAAGGAUGGAACCGAGGUGUAAGAGACCCCGAGGAACGCUGGUGACUUCGUUCCUGGUAAACCCCACUUGGAGCAAGACCUAAUGGGACGCAGUCUCUCUAGAAGAGACAGCCUUUGCCCGAGGCGCGUCUGGGUUGGUCGCUUGAGCCGAUCAGCAAUGAUUGGCCUAGAUAGAUGAUUGUCGCUUAUGGUGGCAGGGUAGUUCCCGUUAUGACCACGAAGAGCACAGAACCCGGCUUACGUAAGGCUUUCCCA
rfam:Paenibacillus sp. JCM 10914 DNA, contig: contig_1.